rnacentral:rRNA from 1 species
GACGAACGCUGGCGGCGUGCCUAACACAUGCAAGUCAACUUGACUGAAGGAGCAAUCUGACAGUAGAGUGGCGCAAGGGUGCGUAACGCGUAAGUAACUUGCCCAAGGUAAGGAAUAACGUCGAGAAAUCGGCGCUAAUACCUCAUAAUGCAGCGGAUCCGCAUGGAUAUGUUGUUAAAGGUUUACCGCCUUGGGAUAGGCUUGCGUCUGAUUAGCUAGUUGGUGUGGUAACGGCACACCAAGGCUACGAUCAGUAACUGGUCUGAGAGGAUGAUCAGUCACACUGGAACUGAGACACGGUCCAGACUCCUACGGGAGGCAGCAGUGAGGAAUAUUGGGCAAUGCUCGAAAG